UACGUAGGUGGCAAGCGUUGUCCGGAUUUACUGGGCGUAAAGAGCGCGCAGGCGGUGCGAUCAGUCGAAUGUGAAAGCCCCCCGGCUCAACUGGGGGAGGGUCACGCGAUACUGAUCGACUCGAAGGCAGGAGAGGGUAGUGGAAUUCCCGGUGUAGUGGUGAAAUUCGUAGAUAUUCGCAAGAACACCAGUGGCGAAGGCGCUCACUGGCCCAUAACUGACGCUGAGGCACGAAAGCGUGGGGAGCAAACAGG
rnacentral:rRNA from 1 species